AAACGCCCAGAAGGCUAAUCAAAGAAAGAAAUGGCGAAAGUCCACUGUGCCUACAGUAGUUGUUGUUCCAGAUCCACCGUCCACCCAGUCAGAUAAUGCUGCAGUACCCAAGAAAGAAAACAAUAGCAUCAGUGAAGCGAAUGAAUCUAUGAACAUACCACAAAAAAUGCACUCUUCUAGACCUGAAAAUGUUCCGGUACCCCCUAAGGUAGAGAAAAACGUAACUGAGACAGGUAUACCUUUGAGAAUACCACGAGCUAUGCGAAAACAAGUAUCAUCAAAUGGUGGUGGCCUUCCACUGGGAGACGUGAACGGCAGUAAGCCAGAUGAAUCUUUGAACAAGAAGGAGUCUGAAGUGAGUGAAGCUAGAAGUCCAC
rnacentral:lncRNA from 1 species